UACGUAGGGGUGCAAGCGUUAAUCGGAAUUACUGGGCGUAAAGCGUGCGCCAGGCGGCUUUGCAAGACAAGAUGUGAAAAUCCCCGGGCUUAACCUGGGAACUGGCAUUUGUGACGUGCAUGGCUGGAGUGCGGGCAGAGGGGGAUGGAAUUCCGGCGUGUAGCAGGUGAAAUGCGUAGAGUAUGCGGAGGAACACCGAUGGCGAAGGCAAUCCCCUGGGCCUGCACAUGACGCUCGAUGCACGAAAGCCGUGGGGAGCAAACAGGA
rnacentral:rRNA from 1 species